rnacentral:lncRNA from 1 species
UUCUGGGGAGGGUGGUCCAUCCUUAAAUGAGCUGCUAAGUGUGGGCUAGCCAGCUGUAUCCCAUUAGCUGUCUCAGCUGCAGGAGAUGUGAGGAGCAUGUAAAUCAGAUGCGGAGAGCUUGUUUUUGUCAUGGACUUCGUACGGAAGAGAAGGCUGAGAGAAGUUGUGGCAAAAUGCAGUAGUGUGAUGUGCCAUGUAGCAUUUCCUUCGCCUCAUGGUGAGAACUGCUUGAUGGAACAGAAAUCCAGGAAUUGGUAGACUGGAAGCUGUGUGGACCAGGGGCCACAACUUUCUUUGAAGCAUCCUGCUAGAUGUCAUAUGAUUACAUAAAGAUUUGUAAGGGACUUCAAAUCCCACCUAGUUACCAUCCCCUGUUGUGAACUGGCUGCCCCCCACCAGAUUAGGCUGCCUGGGGUUCCAUUCAACCUGGCCCUGAACACCUUCAGGGAUGGAACCUGCACAGUUUCUCUGGACAGCCUGUGCCAAUGCCUCGUUGUUCUGUGAGUAAAGAAUUUCCUCCAAACACCUAAUCUAAAUCUCCCCUCUUUUGGUGUAAAUUUGACUUCUCUUUUGUGCUAUUUGACUUAUUUAUUUUUUCUAUUAUACUUUGUUUUCUUUUAAAUGUAAUGUAAAUUUAUCUGCAUUACAGAAUACUCCUUAUAAGUAAUGCAUUUAUUCAAUGCAAAAUAUUGAAUCCUGCUCUUGGCUUUUCCAUAGCUGUGAUAAACAAAACUGCUUAUGUCAGUGCAAGUUUCAUACAAGUAUUGGUAGGAUGAAGGUCUGACUAAAAACAAAAAGUGCCUUUUCUUGAACUCCAUCUAUUUUCUUUACAUGCUGUAGAGUAUAGUGUCCAGGAAGACAUGAAGAAAGCAAUGUUAAAAUUAACUGUUCCUUAAAUUACUGUAGUAAGUCCCACUUAUGCCAGCUUUGUGUUUGAGUGGAGAGAAAAAGGAAAAGUAGUUCAAAGACUAACACUUCUUUUGUGCAUGUUUGCCUCUUGUUUAGAUGUUAGAAAAAUAACAUUGGAGAGGCCUUUAUGAAAACUGUGGUUUUGGGAGGAAGAGGUAGAUACUGUGCUUUCAGUUUUUCAUAUUGAACAUCUAUCUUGCGCUCAGGGGAAGACGAACAUCUUAACACCAUUCUGCAUUAGAUAUUCUUUUGAAAGUAGGCUAUAUCCUGGAAGACUGAGAUUUACUAAGGAAAUCCAAACAUCUUGAAGUGGUACAGCUUGGGAGUACUGAAAUGUGGUUGUUAUGAA